rnacentral:rRNA from 2 species
GGCUCAGGAUGAACGCUGGCGGCGUGCCUAAUACAUGCAAGUCGAACGAGUUCUYGUUGAUGAUCGGUGCUUGCACCGAGAUUCAACAUGGAACGAGUGGCGGACGGGUGAGUAACACGUGGGUAACCUGCCCUUAAGUGGGGGAUAACAUUUGGAAACAGAUGCUAAUACCGCAUAGAUCCAAGAACCGCAUGGUUCUUGGCUGAAAGAUGGCGUAAGCUAUCGCUUUUGGAUGGACCCGCGGCGUAUUAGCUAGUUGGUGAGGUAAUGGCUCACCAAGGCGAUGAUACGUAGCCGAACUGAGAGGUUGAUCGGCCACAUUGGGACUGAGACACGGCCCAAACUCCUACGGGAGGCAGCAGUAGGGAAUCUUCCACAAUGGACGCAAGUCUGAUGGAGCAACGCCGCGUGAGUGAAGAAGGCUUUCGGGUCGUAAAACUCUGUUGUUGGAGAAGAAUGGUCGGCAGAGUAACUGUUGUCGGCGUGACGGUAUCCAACCAGAAAGCCACGGCUAACUACGUGC